rnacentral:rRNA from 2 species
AGCGAAUCAAUGGGAGCUUGCUCCCUGAGAUUAGCGGCGGACGGGUGAGUAACACGUGGGUAACCUGCCUGUAAGAUUGGGAUAACUCCGGGAAACCGGAGCUAAUACCGGAUAACAUUUUGAACCGCAUGGUUCAGAAUUGAAAGAUGGUUUCUGCUAUCACUUACAGAUGGACCCGCGGCGCAUUAGCUAGUUGGUGAGGUAACGGCUCACCAAGGGAACGAUGCGUAGCCGACCUGAGAGGGUGAUCGGCCACACUGGGACUGAAACACGGCCCAGACUCCUACGGGAGGCAGCAGUAGGGAAUCUUCCGCAAUGGACGAAAGUCUGACGGAGCAACGCCGCGUGAACGAUGAAGGCCUUCGGGUCGUAAAGUUCUGUUGUUAGGGAAGAACAAGUACCAGAGUAACUGCUGGUACCUUGACGGUACCUAACCAGAAAGCCACGGCUAACUACGUGCCAGCAGCCGCGGUAAUACGUAGGUGGCAAGCGUUGUCCGGAAUUAUUGGGCGUAAAGCGUACGCAGGCGGUUUCUUAAGUCUGAUGUGAAAGCCCACGGCUCAACCGUGGAGGGUCAUUGGAAACUGGGGAACUUGAGUACAGAAGAAGAGAGUGGAAUUCCACGUGUAGCGGUGAAAUGCGUAGAGAUGUGGAGGAACACCAGUGGCGAAGGCGACUCUCUGGUCUGUAACUGACGCUGAAGUACGAAAGCGUGGGGGAGCGAACAGAUUAGAUACCCUGGUAGUCCACGCCGUAAACGAUGAGUGCUAAGUGUUAGAGGGUUUCCGCCCUUUAGUGCUGCAGCAAACGCAUUAAGCACUCCGCCUGGGGAGUACGGU